rnacentral:tRNA from 1 species
ACUUUUAAAGGAUAGAAGUAAUCCACUGGUUUUAGGAACCAGCCACCUUGGUUCAACUCCAAGUAAAAGCA